rnacentral:tRNA from 1 species
UGCCCUAUAGCUCAGUUGGUAGAGCACGCGGCUGUUAACCGCGUUGUCCCUGGUUCGAGCCCAGGUGGGGCAG